rnacentral:rRNA from 1 species
GCCAGCAGCCAUAUCACCAUGCAACUCACAACUGGCAGCCCACUGAAGCUAAGCAGGUGUGAGCCUGGUCAGUACUGUACCUGGAUGGGAGACCUCCUGGGAAAAACUAAGGUUGCUGCUGGAA